GAAUGAACCGUUCACGAAUCGGACGUUACUUGACACUUGCUGAGAUUAACCUUUAUAUAGGCACAUUUUAUAUUAGCUACUCCUGUCGCUGACAAACUUUGACUGAAUGAUUCAUGAGCGAACGAGUCGGUGAGCCAGUCUCAGUCCUAAGAUCAUGAGAGGAUAACAACUUAAUUAUUGCAGUCUCUUAAUUGUAUUUAACUAUAAAACAUACCUGCAUUAAAAUACAAAUGUACGUAAUUUUUGCCCACCCUAGCCUACUCACGUGGCUUUAUUAGGCGUUGCUGGCGUUGAACGAGGGAGAACAGGACGCUCGCGGAAGUGUGUGGUGGUUUACCGGGCGUCACGGCACCAGUGUGCCACAUCCUACACUGAUUUAAAUGCCCUCAAACUGUUACUCCGGUGCUAUCUUCAUCUGGCCCUUAUUUGUCCUGUAAGCUGAGAGUUCACUCCUCCUUGGCCAUGUGUUACCUGGCAGGAGUUUGGUUUCACUGAGUGUUGUGGUGAAUGGGUGGGUCUCUUUUCUGUCUCAAUGCAUUCAUCUGUUCUAAAGCCAUCUCUGUCACCAUCUUUUCCUCGUUUGAACACAGAGCUUCAGCAUGUCUGUUUCUGCCAGUGAUGAUGGUGGUGUGUCUCGCCAUCUGAUUGCAUGUGCCGAUAUAAUAUGCAAAUAUGGUAGAUGUGUGCUGGUGGACGGGAAGCCCACCUGUGAGUGUAAGCUGGGCUACAUUGGAGACACCUGUAACGAAACAAUCAAUGAUGCUCUGUCUGUGCCGCUCACCCUCGGCGUCCUGGCUUUCAUCAUUGGCUUUAUCAUCCUGCUCUUUGGGAUGGCUUUUUUCCAGCAAAGGCAAAAGGCGAAGAAGAGAAAAAAGGCAGCUGAAGAAGCCCUGUUAAGAAAUGGAGCACAUCUUUAACAUGUUUUAAUGCAGCGUGCCAUAAAAUAGUACCAUCAACACAUGAACAUAAACUUUCCACCAUGACACUUAAAUGUGCAUGAAUAGCCUAGAUAUAUUCAUCUCAUGUUAUACUGGUGUGCAUAUGUAGGUAUUGAAUAUUGACUGAAUGCACUCAGCAUUAUCUGAAAACUUUUGUAUAUGAAAUACGUGAAGUCCGCAGCACAUUUGAAUGAUUCUAGAGCAUGACUUGGGUUGGUGUACCUGCAGGAGAGAUACAUGCAAAUCACGUUAAACAUGCAUUGACUGGUUCCUGAAACAUGCCAGGUAUUUCAGAGCUGUUUUUCCGCUGUUAUAUUUAGCUCAGUCCUGACUGGUGAGUUUGAAUAACUGAAAGCUGACUAGUUUCAUGGACUGAUAAGCCACAGACAAGUAUCUUUUCCAAGCAUUUAUGGAAAACAGUCAUGCCAUUUUUUUUAUGGGUUUUGGUUGUGUUUACGUUUACUUGUGGAGUUUCACAACAACUCUGCAUUCAACCUUUUUUUAUUUAGUUUAGUAGAGGUCUCAUUCAACUGUCU
ensembl:lncRNA meprin A subunit beta-like